GGGGCCGUAGCUCAGUUGGGAGAGCGCUUGAAUGGCAUUCAAGAGGUCGAGAGUUCGAUUCUCUUCGGCUCCA
rnacentral:tRNA from 1 species